rfam:Emmonsia sp. CAC-2015a strain CBS 136260 supercont2.1483, whole genome shotgun sequence.
GGACCCGUGGCCCAAUUGGCAAGGCGUUUGACUACGAUUAAAACAACCUUAUUCCAUCAAAAGAUUGUGGGUUCGAAUCCCACCGGGUUCA